GCAAGGCCUUGCUCUCCCACAGUUAAGGCCCAGGGGAGGAGAGUAGAGAAGGGACACUCCCAUAGGGUCCCUCUACUGGAAAUGUCAUUCCCAGAACAGCCCUAUCUUGCUGGGCCUGGACAGCUUUGCUAUGCUGUUAGCUGAUGUAGUUGAGAGUGUCACCCAGACCUGAAUCGCCUGUCCGGAGUCUCACAUUGGCAGCAGCUGAGCCAAUACCCCAAAGUUUCUGGGUACUCUGGAGGACAAGGUGUUCAUUACAUGGAAAUUCACUGGAUGUUAACAAUGUUUAAAAGAUAAGGUUUUUCUACACAGCUCUGACUGCCCUGGAAUUUACGAUGUGGAUAAGGCUGGCCAGGAACUCAAAGAGAUCUGUCUGCCUCAGACUCCCAGUGCUGGUAUUAAAGGUGUGUGCCACCAUACCCAUGAUGUCGGAUGACUUCUUUAAGAUAUGGCUUCCUGGUUCGUGCUUGGCAGCAUGAACUCUGGAUCUUUUGGGAGGUCCUGCACUUAGAUGGAGUUUGUGAGCAGCAUGUUACAAGUGCUUAAUGGUGACAUAGAGCUGCUGUGUCUCUGGAGCUGGGACAGUGAACAUGGCUCGAAGAUCUGGCAAUAAAUGUACCUCUGCCAGGUGGAGAGGUGAAGCCAGCAUCCAGGGCUGCCACAACCACACUGCUUACCAUUUUAAAACGCUCCUUGUCAGAAAAGGAUUUCAGAUACAAAAUAGGACAGAUUCAGACAUAAAGACCUCUAAAUGAGACACAAUGUAUUAAAAAAUGUACGUAAGCUUGAGAGAGAGAGAAAAAAAGAGU